UACGGAGGGUGCAAACGUUGCUCGGAAUUACUGGGCGUAAAGCGCACGUAGGCGGUCUGCUGUGUCCGAUGUGAAAGCCCUCGGCUCAACCGAGGAAGUGCAUUGGAAACUGGCAGGCUCGAGUACGGAAGAGGGUCGCGGAAUUCCCGGUGUAGAGGUGAAAUUCGUAGAUAUCGGGAGGAACACCAGUGGCGAAGGCGGCGACCUGGGCCGAUACUGACGCUGAGGUGCGAAAGCGUGGGGAGCAAACAGG
rnacentral:rRNA from 1 species